UUGAAAAUAAUUCUUUUUUCUUUUCCUUUUCUGUGAUCAGAACAGUGGCUAAUUACUUAAAUAUUUUUUCCCUCAGGUAUAUUGGGAUGUAGAAAAACUUAUAGUUUAGGGCAUCAGCUUAGUUGUAGGAGGAGGCUAAGACUUUGCUACCUUAGCACCAAAGGGUUAAUGCCAUACCCUAAAUUUUAGUUUUCCUUAUGUGAAAUGAGAUAAUAAUAUACUUCUGAGGUGUCAUAGGAUUAAAUAUGUGUAAGCUUCAUAGGAAAGUGCUUGGCAAAUGGUUGGUACCUGAGAAAACCUUAGCAGUACUUAUUCUGAAAUGAAAUAAAAAUUAUUGCUAAUUUUUAAACGAUUUAUCAUAUUCUUGUGUGGUACAGGGAAAACCACACAAUACAUUGACCAUUCAUUAUAUAGUUUGGAGCUGGAUUGCAUGCAGAAUCAUUUGAGAAGUUCGACAGUGUUGGUUUUGAGUCACUUACCUCUAGCCAAGAAGUGAUUUCUGCAGACCUUGUGCAAAGAAAUCAUUGGUAAAAAGGACCACAUUAGAUGAUGCUUAGGAACCUAAAAGUUGUUCAGAAUACUGGCCUCUCUAACAGGAGAGCUCCUCCUCACAUCCUAAGAGACUUAGGAAGCCAGUUUACUAGACUUAAGAUGUGUGUGUGUGCGUGCGUGUGUGUGUGUGUGUGUGUGUGUGUGUGUGUGUGUGUACUCAUGAGAGAGGGGCAAGGACACAUAUUCAAGACUAAUUUGAUAAACACUGUAAUAGAGCAGUAUAUCAUGUACUAUGGGAAUACAAAGAAUGAAAUGUACUACCUUGGAAAGGUCAGGAAAUAGUUUACUCAUGAAUAAAUAUUUGAAGUGGAUUAUGAACAGGAGUUUUUAAGACACACCAUGCAGGGAUUGCAACAAAGAGAAAAAGGCACAAAUGCAGGAGGCAGCUUGGUACAUUGUGGUUAUAAUGUGUUUCAACGUGGAUUAAGGUGUGUGUGUGUGUACAUGCACACUCUUGCACAAGUGUAUGUGCCUAUGUUGUGAAAGAGAAUUGUGUUUUAGGUAAUACGACUGCUGGAUACAGAGACAGUUUCUUUCUUAAAUGACUUAAGUUUAUCCUGUAGGUAAUGGAGAAUGAUGCAACAAUUUUAAGCAAAGAGCACAUGAUAGGAUUUACAUGAUGGAAAAUGACUGCAUCAUCAGUAUGAAGGAUGUUAGGAAAGGAAACCACUGGUAACAGUCAAUAGGAAUAGUCCAGGCAAAAA